UACGUAGGGGGCAAGCGUUGUCCGGAAUUAUUGGGCGUAAAGCGCGCGCAGGCGGCUGUUUAAGUCUGGUGUUUAAACCAUGGGCUCAACCUGUGGUCGCACUGGAAACUGGGCAGCUUGAGUGCAGAAGAGGAAAGUGGAAUUCCACGUGUAGCGGUGAAAUGCGUAGAGAUGUGGAGGAACACCAGUGGCGAAGGCGACUUUCUGGGCUGUAACUGACGCUGAGGCGCGAAAGCUAGGGGAGCAAACGGG
rnacentral:rRNA from 1 species